rnacentral:rRNA from 1 species
UAGGGAAUCUUCCACAAUGGACGCAAGUCUGAUGGAGCAACGCCGCGUGAGUGAAGAAGGUUUUCGGAUCGUAAAGCUCUGUUGUUGGUGAAGAAGGAUAGAGGUAGUAACUGGCCUUUAUUUGACGGUAAUCAACCAGAAAGUCACGGCUAACUACGUGCCAGCAGCCGCGGUAAUACGUAGGUGGCAAGCGUUGUCCGGAUUUAUUGAGCGUAAAGCGAGCGCAGGCGGAAGAAUAAGUCUGAUGUGAAAGCCCUCGGCUUAACCGAGGAACUGCAUCGGAAACUGUUUUUCUUGAGUGCAGAAGAGGAGAGUGGAAUUCCAUGUGUAGCGGUGGAAUGCGUAGAUAUAUGGAAGAACACCAGUGGCGAAGGCGACUCUCUGGUCUGCAACUGACGCUGAGGCUCGAAAGCAUGGGUAGCGAACAGG